GAACGCUAGCGGCAGGCUUAACACAUGCAAGUCGAGGGGCAGCGGGGAGGAAGCUUGCUUUCUCCGCCGGCGACCGGCGCACGGGUGAGUAACACGUAUGCAACCUGCCCCUGUCAGGGGGACAACCCGCCGAAAGGCGGGCUAAACCCGCGUACAUGCCACCGGGGCAUCCCGGAGGCAGGAAAGGCUUCGGCCGGACAGGGAUGGGCAUGCGGCGCAUUAGGCAGUAGGCGGGGUAACGGCCCACCUAACCGACGAUGCGUAGGGGUUCUGAGAGGAAGGUCCCCCACACCGGUACUGAGACACGGACCAGACUCCUACGGGAGGCAGCAGUGAGGAAUAUUGGUCAAUGGUCGGGAGACUGAACCAGCCAAGCCGCGUGAGGGAGGAAGGUACAGAGUAUCGUAAACCUCUUUUGUCAGGGAACAAAGACUGGGACGCGUCCCCGGAUGAGUGUACCUGAAGAAAAAGCAUCGGCUAACUCCGUGCCAGCAGCCGCGGUAAUACGGAGGAUGCGAGCGUUAUCCGGAUUUAUUGGGUUUAAAGGGUGCGCAGGCGGUCUGUUAAGUCAGCGGUCAAAGCCCGGGGCUCAACCCCGGCCCGCCGUUGAAACUGGCAGUCUCGAGUUGGAGAGAAGUAUGCGGAAUGCGCGGUGUAGCGGUGAAAUGCAUAGAUAUCGCGCAGAACUCCGAUUGCGAAGGCAGCAUGCCGGCUCCACACUGACGCUGAGGCACGAAAGCGUGGGUAUCGAACAGGAUAGAUACCCUGGUAGUCCACGCAGUAAACGAUGAAUGCUGGCUGUCCGGGGGGACUGACCCCUGGGUGGCGAAGCGAAAGCGAUAAGCAUUCCACCUGGGGAGUACGCCGGCAACGGUGAAACUCAAAGGAAUUGACGGGGGCCCGCACAAGCGGAGGAACAUGUGGUUUAAUUCGAUGAUACGCGAGGAACCUUACCCGGGCUCAAACGGGGAGUGGCGCAGGCAGAGACGCCUGUUUCCCACGGGACACUCCCCGAGGUGCUGCAUGGUUGUCGUCAGCUCGUGCCGUGAGGUGUCGGCUUAAGUGCCAUAACGAGCGCAACCCCCGCGUGCAGUUGCUAACAGUCAACGCUGGGGACUCUGCACGGACUGCCGGCGCAAGCCGCGAGGAAGGCGGGGAUGACGUCAAAUCAGCACGGCCCUUACGUCCGGGGCGACACACGUGUUACAAUGGGUGGUACAGCGGGAAGCCAGGCGGCGACGCCGAGCGGAACCCGAAAUCCACUCUCAGUUCGGAUCGGAGUCUGCAACCCGACUCCGUGAAGCUGGAUUCGCUAGUAAUCGCGCAUCAGCCAUGGCGCGGUGAAUACGUUCCCGGGCCUUGUACACACCGCCCGUCAAGCCAUGGGAGCCGAGGGCGCUUGAAGUGCGUCGCCGCGAGGCGCGCCCUAGAGCGAAAUCGGUGACC
rnacentral:rRNA from 1 species